rnacentral:rRNA from 1 species
AAUGAACGCUGGCGGCGCGCCUAAUACAUGCAAGUCGAGCGAGAAGACGUAGCAAUACGUUUGUAAAGCGGCGAACGGGUGAGGAAUACAUGGGUAACCUACCCUCGAGUGGGGAAGUAACUAGCCGAAAGGUUAGCUAAUACCGCGUACGCUUCUUGGACUUCGGUUCAGGGAGGAAAGCGAUGCCGAGGGUAUCGCGCUCUUGGAUGGGCUCAUGUCCUAUCAGCUUGUUGGGAGGUAACGGCUCACCAAGGCUUCGACGGGUAGCUGGUCUGAGAGGACGAUCAGCCACACUGGCACUGCGACACGGGCCAGACUCCUACGGGAGGCAGCAGUAAGGAAUAUUGCGCAAUGGGCGAAAGCCUGACGCAGCGACGCCGCGUGGGGGGA